rnacentral:rRNA from 1 species
AGUGAACGCUGGCGGUAGGCCUAACACAUGCAAGUCGAACGGCAGCACAGUAAGAGCUUGCUCUUACGGGUGGCGAGUGGCGGACGGGUGAGGAAUACAUCGGAACCUACUUUUUCGUGGGGGAUAACGUAGGGAAACUUACGCUAAUACCGCAUACGACCUACGGGUGAAAGCAGGGGAUCUUCGGACCUUGCGCGAUUGAAUGAGCCGAUGUCGGAUUAGCUAGUUGGCGGGGUAAAGGCCCACCAAGGCGACGAUCCGUAGCUGGUCUGAGAGGAUGAUCAGCCACACUGGAACUGAGACACGGUCCAGACUCCUACGGGAGGCAGCAGUGGGGAAUAUUGGACAAUGGGCGCAAGCCUGAUCCAGCCAUACCGCGUGGGUGAAGAAGGCCUUCGGGUUGUAAAGCCCUUUUGUUGGGAAAGAAAAGCAGCAGGUUAAUACCCCACUGUUCUGACGGUACCCAAAGAAUAAGCACCGGCUAACUUCGUG